UACGUAGGGUGCGAGCGUUAAUCGGAAUUACUGGGCGUAAAGCGUUCGCAGGCGGUUUUGUAAGUCAGAUGUGAAAUCCCCGGGCUUAACCUGGGAACUGCGUUUGAAACUAUAAGGCUAGAGUGUGUCAGAGGGGGGUAGAAUUCCACGUGUAGCAGUGAAAUGCGUAGAGAUGUGGAGGAAUACCGAUGGCGAAGGCAGCCCCCUGGGAUAACACUGACGCUCAUGCACGAAAGCGUGGGGAGCAAACAGG
rnacentral:rRNA from 1 species